GGUUCAGAACGUCGUGAGACAGUUCGGUCCCUAUCCGUCGUGGGCGGAGGAAACUUGAGUGGAGCUAUCCCUAGUACGAGAGGACCGGGAUGGACAUACCUCUGGUGAACCAGUUGUCUUACCCAAGGCAUAGCUGGGUAGCUAAGUAUGGAUACGAUAAGCGCUGAAAGCAUCUAAGCGCGAAGCAAACCUCAAGAUAAGGUUUCCCAUAGAGUUAAUCUAGUAAGAUCCCUGGAAGACUACCAGGUAGAUAGGCCAGAGGUGUAAGGACAGCAAUGUUUUUAGCUGACUGGUACUAAUAGAUCGAGGGUUUGAUCUA
rnacentral:rRNA from 1 species